UUAUAAACCAUAUUUUCAUGAUUUUAACAUAUAAACUUAUAGUUGAACUAUUAAAUUAUUAACUUUGACUAUUGGGGAUAAUUUAAAGACAUUAUUUUGAUGGUUUAAGAGGUUUUAAAGUAGUUUGGUAUUGCUGUAAAUUUAUUUUCUUGGGUGUUGAUUUAGUUCUUGUUAUUUGGUUUAGGAGAGGACUUCGUAGAAGGUGACUUCUAGUUCCUAAAGUGGCCAACCAAUUCGUUUAUUCAGGUUCGUGAGUAUCUUCGUCAAAUUCGGGGUCGGAGGAGCAAAAUUGAAGGCCGAUAUUGCUUAUACUAUUCAGCAAUUGCUAAACAAUAUUCGUUAAUCCAUUUGUUAUUUUUUUUUUUUUCUUUUGGCAAGUGUAAAAUUACAGAUUAUGAAUUUCAAUUUUAUUAUAUAUUAAUGUAUUAUUAUUGGAGAUAUUAUUAUUGUUGGCAGAAAUGUUUAUAUAUAACAUUUUGGUGAUCAUAUAUGAAUUUCAAUUAUACUUUAGCAUUUGGUGUGUAAUUAAUUAUUGAUUAUGAAUUUCGAUUAUAUUUGGUGUUGUAUGAUUUUUCUGCUAAUUUUUAAGAGAAAAAGACCAAAAAAAAAA